rnacentral:rRNA from 1 species
CUUGAAUACAUUAGCAUGGAAUAAUGAAAUAGGAGUUCGAUCCUNUUUUAGUUGGUUUCUUAGGAUUGACGUAAUGAUUAAUAGGGAUAUUGGGGGGCAUUAGUAUUCAAUUGUCAGAGGUGAAAUUCUUGGAUUUAUUGAAGACUAACUACUGCGAAAGCAUUUGCCAAGGAUGUUUUCAUUAAUCAAGAACGAAAGUUAGGGGGAUCGAAGACGAUCAGAUACCGUCGUAGUCUUAACCAUAAACUAUGCCGACUAGGGAUCGGAUGAUGUUAAUUUUUUUAAUGACUCAUUCGGCGCCUUACG